UUUUGAACUCAGAGAGUAAAAGGACCAGAUCAGGUGGUGUCUUGGAUGGGUUUUCUGGAAUGCCCGUCCACCCCAAGCUUUAGGCCAGAAUUAAACAGUCAUCAAUCUCUCUGAAGAGGUUUUUUCCAUUGUUUGGAACUUCCCAGUGGGGGAAUUUAAGUUGCUAAUGCAGGGCUGGAAGGGGGGACACUGGCAGAGGCACAUGACUCGGAUGAAAGGAUAUUAUCAUAUUAUGGUGAAUUAGAAGAAACUGCUCUCUUCUGUAUUUGGGACAGGGAGGAAAGACCUAGCAUACCACCCACCUCACUGCACAGAGACACCGUGUGGACCAUAUCCAGAUCCGUUCAGAGACCAUGGCUCCCAGACCACAGCCAGGCAGGAGGUCAAUGGACAUGAACAGAGGUGUGUUGUGUCCUGGAAUGGCUAAUUAGGUAAUAAAAAGUAAUUGGGAGAGAGGUGAGAAGAAGGC
rnacentral:lncRNA from 1 species